AACGAACGCUGGCGGCAUGCUUAACACAUGCAAGUCGAACGUGAUCCCUGCCUUCGGGUGGGGUGAAAGUGGCGGACGGGUGAGUAACGCGUGGGAACCUGCCCAGUGGUAGGGGAUAACCGCGGGAAACUGCGGCUAAUACCCUAUAAGCCCUUAGGGGGAAAGAUUUAUUGCCAUUGGAGGGGCCCGCGUCGGAUUAGGUAGUUGGUGGGGUAAAGGCCUACCAAGCCUUCGAUCCGUAGCUGGUCUGAGAGGANGAUCAGCCACACUGGGACUGAGAUACGGCCCAGACUCCUACGGGGGCGAGCAGU
rnacentral:rRNA from 1 species